AUGGGGAGUACUGGGGGGAACCCUGGCUGGGUGCGGCUCGCGCUCUGCCUGGCUGACUUAGUGCUAUCGCUCUACGCGCUGCACGUGAAGGCCGCGCGCGCCCUGGGCCGGGAUUACCGCGCUCUCUGCGACAUGGGCACCGCCAUUAGCUGUCCCGUGCAUCAUCUCCUCCAGGUAGGGCAGGGGCUUCGGGUUGGUGCAGCACGUGCUGGGACAGGACAGCAUCCUCAAUCAAUACAAUAACAUAUUCCCUUGCAUCUUCUACACACUACAGCUGUUAAAUUGCCCGUGGACGCGCUGGGCCUUUGUCCUGCUGCUGCUGAGCUCCCUGCUGUCUCCGGCUGAUUCUGUCUACCUAUCCUGGAUUCUGUUCUUCGUGCUCUAUGAUUUCUGCAUCGUUUGCAUCACCACCUAUGCCAUCAACGUGGGCCUGAUGUGUCUCAGUUUCCGGAAGGUCCAAGAACCCCAGGGCAAGGCUAAGAGGCACUGAGCCCUCACCCCAAGUCAGGCUGGCCUCAUCUGCUUUGCUUUGGCAUGUGAGCCUUGCCCAAGGAGGCAUAUCUGGGUCCCUAGAAGGCCCUAGAUGCAGGGCCAUCUAGAGUCCCCCCUCCCUCUGCCAUACCCACACAUGACAAUGGACCAAAUGUGCCACACGCUCGCUCUUUUUUCCACCCAGUGCCUCUGACUCUGUCCCCAAGGGCUGGUCUCCGAAGCUCUUGCCAUUGCCCAAGGAGCGAAGGUUCUGAGCAAUACAAUUU